rnacentral:snoRNA from 1 species
UUGUAAGCUUUCCAGCAUGCUUGGGUUAAGGCAACUCAGUUGAUUCCUAUAGUGCUUGCUACAUUGUUCUGAAAUGGUUUGAGACUGGCCCUGUCUCUUUAGAGCAUGGUCAUAGACAUUUCAGACAGUU